rnacentral:piRNA from 1 species
UCCCUACUGAAAGCUGCAGACGACCUGCCUGC